rfam:Prunus persica cultivar Lovell chromosome G2, whole genome shotgun sequence.
UUUUGGGACCUUACUGGCUUCGGAGUCAUGGGAACUCCGAAGUUAAGCGAGUUGGGGCUAGAGCAAUCCCAAGAUGGGUGAACCACUGGGAAGUUGCUCGUGAGUUCCCAGAA